GCCUGCGCCGCCGAGGGCCGCUUAUGGCCGUCGCCUCCUUCCUCGGCAGCCGAGCAGCCUCCGCGCCAGGUCCGCGGUCGGUGCCGCCUUUGUCGCCGCGUUAAGCCCCCUGUCACCGGUGUGCCGCCUCCUCCCUGUCCGCCCGCGCGGCGCCUCGGCCGUGCUGCCCUCCUUCCCGCGCUGCCGGGCUCUGGGUUAGCCUCUCUCCCGGGUGCGGUCUGGUUUAGCUGUCAGCUGUUCAGACCUGGAGUUGUCUUUUACUGUGUAUUUGAACCGUGCUUUGAGCAAACGGGCUUGUAUUUGGAGUGCCCUUGUGUUACUGUAGUAGUUACACAGUUGUAGGUUCCGCUAAUGCAGAGCAGAGUGCGCUGCGCGUCGUCUGGCGCUGGGAGCGUGCCUUCAUCUGUAAUUCCGGGCCAUAGACUAGCAUGGAGUCACGCUUUCUGCCUAGAGCUUUUGUGUACCUUGGAAAAAGAUGCAUAAAUAAUUGUAGGUGAAAGCAUUUAAAAUAGCAAGGAAUAUUUUGUUCAUUCCAGGAAAAUAAUUUGCACAACAUACAGGCCAAAUGAUAAGUGCGAUCUGAAAGUUUACGAUGUGAGCUGAAGUAGAUCUUCCUUUAAUGGAUAUACAGUGGGCUGUGGCAAGUGUUCGUGUUCAGAAAUAUGCUUUGGCUAAUAUUAAAGUACCUUCUCCUUAAAGCCUACGUGAUAUUCACACUACAAGACAGGUGGUCUAUAUGUUCUCUAUGCAACUACUGUGUAUCCUGCUGAGCUCUUUGCAGCUUAAUAUUUAAAACAAGAUGUUAAGAAUAAAAGACUUCUGGUCAUUAAAUUAGAAUUAAAGGAGAGUAGAAGCUGAUAUAUUAUCUUACUCUUGGCUUCUAUAGUGCUUGUCACAAAGUAAUGGCUCUCUUAAACUGUACAUUAAUCAUCAACAACAGGUUCAGAAAUGCCUGUUUCAGUCCAAAAUCUUUUACUACCAAGUAAAUAGCUUUCAUACUAUUGGAAUGAGGAAAGAAACGUCUUUAACAAGAAAUGCCUUCACAUCUGAAUGAAGUUAGUUUAUACCUUCUCCCCCAUGUGUUCAGUGUAUUGCAAUGCCCACCUACUUAGAAGGAAAGAAGUGGGGGGGCAACUUUGCAGGUAAAUGUACGGUGAAGUAUAUUUCAAGUUAUAUACAGUACAUACUUUCAAGCAUAUAAUAAAAAAAGUUUAGAAAAGCAAAACAUCCCUUUUAUUUUAGAAGGUGAUCAAUAUUUGUCAGUGAGGUAUGUUAUUAAAAUGAUCAUAGGGAAAAGCUGUACAACUAAAAGGUACAUCAGGCAAGUGGCAAUUCUUCUACUCAGAAAUUCACAACCUGUGUCAUCUGCAAAACAGUGAGUGAAACAAAGGAAAUAAAUUUUCUGUUCUGAUUUCCUGGUGGUGAAUGGCCUGCUGCUUUUGGAACACAGGCAAAAGACAGUAAGGCCUUCUCAGGCCCACAGCUCUACAUCCACUGAAAUUCCCUUCUCUAAGAGAACCAGUGUCCUUGCCAACGUUCAAGUGUCGCUGCACACGGUUUCUGUGGCUAUUUAAAGUUUCUCAGUUUCUCUCAACCUGGUACCAGCUGCAUUCUCUCUCUCUCCAAGAAAGAGUUCCCAGGUUUACCAGUGAUGGCUGCUGCUGUGGCUGCAAGGAAAAUAGAGGAGCACGUGGUGAAGGAAGGAGGAGGUAGAAGUACAGAACGUAUCCUUUCUGCAGCUGAUCUGCAUCAGAUCAGUUUAACUAACAUAAAACUAUGCGGAGAGUUUAACAGAGGUAUUAAGAUCGGUAUGUAUGCAGGACGGCUGGAAGCGUGUGUGUAAGCAUAAGGAGGAAGAGUGAAACACAGUUAAAGAAAUGGCCUGUACUGGUGACGAAAGACACCAUUUCCAGGACACAAUUCCCAGCAGUAUUUGUGUGCCACAGCAUAGAUAACUUGCCAGCAGAAGACCUUGCAUCCUCACAGCAAUAAGUUGUCGUGUAUCACACACACCAUUCUUUUUCCUGUUAGCCGAACAGAAGAGACUGCAGGUGUACAUUUCAGACCUACAUUCCAAAGGAGGGAAAACAGACAACGAGCAGCAACAUGGCCUAAGAUUUAUGGAAGGCAAGGGGGAAUUCUUUUCUUGCUUCAGGCUUUGAAAGAACUUAUUUUCUGUUAUCUGGGCCCUAAUCCUGCCACUGGAUUUGUUCAAAUGGACCUCAGUAGCCAUGGGGCGUGACUGAGUUGAUGGGACUGUGGAUGACUGCAAGUUUCUACUCUGAAGAUCUGAUUGUAGGCCUGAACCUAAGUUUCUAUUUUAUUUCCCUUUCUAUUUGCUUCUAAUUCAUGAAAAUUAUCCUGCAAAACGGUAUUGUCUUUGAGUCUCGUGCACAUCUGCUUUAGUAACAUUCAGACACUGUGUGCUUGGGAUUUUUUCAGAUAUUGUUAAAAUAUUUCUAUUGUGUCAUGUGCCAAAAACUCAUGAUUGCUGUGAUUAUUGUGUUAUAUUUUUAUAUUCAGUGGCUUCCUACCUAAAAUGGAGGAGAUCAUCA